GUCAAAAGACACGUUUUGUUGUUAUGGGGAACCUGUUCUACUCUGAACGCGUGAUCCAUAAGCGUUUUGAUUUAAAAGGAUCCUCGUAUGGGCGUACAACUGAUAAGCCAGGAGGAGAGGCCGAUGAGACUACGACGCUUAAAGACCUUGAUCUCAACUUUGUCUUUCAAUUGCGACAAUCUUGGUAUAAAGAGCUUAUAAGGCAAAUUGAUAUAGAUUGUCAGUUUCUGGAAGCUGAGAAUAUCAUGGAUUACAGUCUUUUGAUUGGUGUUCAUAUCUGCAAUUAUAGUAACAACGGCGAGAUGAAUUUAUCACCUUCUGGCAAAUCUGAUGCUCAAGAUUAUUGCUUAUGUGAUGCAGAAAGUCCUGAUAAGGGACUGAUCAUUGACAAAAGGAACUCUCCUAUAAGUUCAGCUGCAAAUGUGCCUGCAAGGGCAAUGUGUG
rnacentral:misc_RNA from 1 species